ACACAUGCAAGUCGAGCGGAAACGACUUAUCUGAACCUUCGGGGAACGAUAAGGCGUCGAGCGGNGGACGGGUGAGUAAUGCCUAGGAAAUUGCCUUGAUGUGGGGGAUAACCAUUGGAAACGAUGGCUAAUACCGCAUAAUGCCUACGGGCCAAAGAGGGGGACCUUCGGGCCUCUCGCGUCAAGAUAUGCCUAGGUGGGAUUAGCUAGUUGGUGAGGUAAUGGCUCACCAAGGCGACGAUCCCUAGCUGGUCUGAGAGGAUGAUCAGCCACACUGGAACUGAGACACGGUCCAGACUCCUACGGGAGGCAGCAGUGGGGAAUAUUGCACAAUGGGCGAAAGCCUGAUGCAGCCAUGCCGCGUGUAUGAAGAAGGUCUUCGGGUUGUAUAGUACUUUUUUUUAGUGGAGGAGGGGUGUCGUUAAUAGCGGUAUCUCUUGACGUUAGCAACAGAAGAAGCACUGGGUUAUCUCCGUGCCAGCAGGAGCGGGUAAUACGGAGGGUGCGAGCGUUAAUCGGAAUUACUGGGCGUAAAGCG
rnacentral:rRNA from 1 species